AGCGAACGCUGGCGGCAGGCCUAACACAUGCAAGUCGAACGGAUCCUUCGGGAUUAGUGGCGGACGGGUGAGUAACACGUGGGAACGUGCCCUUUGGUUCGGAACAACUCAGGGAAACUUGAGCUAAUACCGGAUGUGCCCUUCGGGGGAAAGAUUUAUCGCCAUUGGAGCGGCCCGCGUCUGAUUAGCUAGUGGGUGAGGUAAAGGCUCACCAAGGCGACGAUCAGUAGUUGGUCUGAGAGGAUGAUCAGCCACAUUGGGACUGAGACACGGCCCAAACUCCUACGGGAGGCAGCAGUGGGGAAUCUUGCGCAAUGGGCGAAAGCCUGACGCAGCCAUGCCGCGUGAAUGAUGAAGGUCUUAGGAUUGUAAAAUUCUUUCACCGGGGACGAUAAUGACGGUACCCGGAGAAGAAGCCCCGGCUAACUUCGUGCCAGCAGCCGCGGUAA
rnacentral:rRNA from 1 species